rnacentral:rRNA from 1 species
UUCCGUAGGUGACCUGCGGAAGGAUCAUUG